rnacentral:rRNA from 1 species
CCCUUAGAUGUUCUGGGCCGCACGCGCGCUACACUGAUGCAUUCAACGAGUCUAAAACCUGCUCUGAUAGGGGUGGGUAAUCUUUUGAAUGUGCAUCGUGAUUGGGAUAGAUGAUUGCAAUUUUUCAUCUUCAACGAGGAAUGCCUAGUAAACGCAAGUCAUCAGCUUGCAUUGAUUACGUCCCUGCCCUUUGUACACACCGCCCGUCGCUCCUACCGAUUGAAUGAUCCGAUGAAUAUCAUGGAUUGAGGUUGCAAGUAGGUUCGCCUAUCUUCAUCUUCGAGAAGUGAAGUAAAUCUUAUCAUUUAGAGGAAGGAGAAGUCGUAACA